rnacentral:lncRNA from 7 species
GGGUUCUUUGCGCCCCCGUCCACCGCGCCGGCGCCCAGGAUCAAGUAGCCGGGCGGCGAUGGCCCAGGAGAUCGCUGGAAUGGGAACAAAAAUGAAAAAGAAAACGCUUGUUUCAGUGUAGAGAGGUUCCUAGUGCGAUCGAGAGUUUGAUUUUGACUUUGAGUUGCUCUCGGACAUGUUUUGUACAUACAUUUUUAUUUCGAGAUUAUUAUCUAGAACAAAUUGUCAUCUUCUUGUUUCUUUGUUAUUUUUUAUGUAUAAACAAAAGGUGGCACUAGGAAUCAUUUAGGUACU